CACGUAGGCACCAAGCGUUGUCCGGAUUUAUUGGGCGUAAAGAGCUCGUAGGCGGUUCAGUAAGUCGGGUGUGAAAACUCUGGGCUUAACCCAGAGCCGCCACCCGAUACUGCUGUGACUAGAGUUCGGUAGGGGAGCAGGGAAUUCCUAGUGUAGCGGUGAAAUGCGCAGAUAUUAGGAGGAACACCGGUGGCGAAGGCGCUGCUCUGGGCCGAUACUGACGCUGAGGAGCGAAAGUGUGGGGAGCGAACAGG
rnacentral:rRNA from 1 species